AAUAUUAAACAACAACCAAAACUAAAAUCAAAACUCACGAUGCUUUUCAAACUGUUGUAUACAAAUAGUUUAAAUUUCAUAUGCCAAAACCUUACGAAGUAGAAUGUUGUUGCUAGUUAAAGAUAGGGUUAGAGUAGAACGAUUUCUCUGUCGUGACGUGUUAGGCGAUAAAGCAAAAGAAUGUUUCUCUUUUGCGUCCAGAUCAGAAAUUACAGGCUCGUGAGUUGGCCAUCUUCAUGGGAAGAGUCGUAGUCCUCGGGGACGCUCUUCCCCAACUUUAACAAGGUCUAAGACGCGGUGGCAGGUCGUAGUUUCCGCCCGUUGUACUUAGAAUGGACGUUGUAAUUCCCGUCCCAACGGCAAGUACUUCCACGUACUUGCAGGCUACUACGGACGAUCGAGCAGACAUAAUCAUCCGUGAUUAUCUGUAAUAAACUGAUAUCGCGACAUGGCAAAGUUCUGCACAAGUCUUUGUCAAAGCUCGUGGACGGAAAACUUUAGAGAGAAAUUACUUCUACAUUUAUUCAGAUUGAUUUGUAAAAGCUUGUGUGUCCGGGUUUUGUUCGGAAUUUGUCCUAGGUGUUGAUCACCUGACUUUUACCGGAGACGGUACUUCGGCACUAGGGCGUAAAAAAAUUAAAUGCGAUGCACUUAUCAAACAUUCCGCGAGCAUGUUAUAAUCCGACUCUGGUACAAGUAGUUUAGAAACGCGCUGUCAGUUGCCUGGAUCAUAUAAGUUCGAACAAUAUCGUCUGAAACAUAGGUUAAAUUUGCUGAAUAUUACUGAAUUAAAUUAAUUCAGGUUAAUAUCAAAGAGUUACCAAGAAAAACUUUUCGUAUCACUCAACGACUACAAAACUAUUUUAAAUUUAAUACAAAACGAAUUGUGGUUACGAUUCUGAUAUAUUUUGACGACUUUAUAACACAUACACCCAUAAACCAUUGGCCAAAUUUGAUGAAACUUUCAUAACCAUUGAUUAUUGUAAUCCAUACAACGGAAUAUCCUUUCUUCUUGUAAUAAAUAACUUUGGAGGAAACUUGUGGUUUAAAUCCCUUCUCCCAUGCGUUUUGACACUACUUUGAAUCCGGACUUGCGUUACGGAUAAAUCCUGAACCCUUUCUGAUAAGAAUUAAGAUCAAAUUGCGAUAUCACUAUAAGAGUGACUUCGUACAUCAAACCAACACAACGUAGGUAAGUGAAAUAAUCAUGUAGCGGAUCAAUUAACUAGACGAGCCAAAUCAUUUCAAAAAAAAAAACAAAAGUAAAAUUCAAGAUUAAUUAAAUAAAUAAAUUAAAUAAGUUGUAAAUCAUUUAAACAUCGAUCAACCAUCAUCAAUCACGGUCUCACUACAGUAUCAAACAUGCACCUAAUUUUUUUCCACAUGAUUUUUGCACUGCACUUUAAUCCAACCUUUUUUUUUCAAAUAUGACAUUAUAUUCCUUCUUUUACGUUAUCCUACAUCCACCUCUGCCUUUCCUUUAGAUAUCAAAACAAAAUAGAAAAUAAAGAAACCGACGGUGUUUCCCAAAAGGAGAGAAAAGACGCAUGGGAAAAGGUGGCUGAAGAGUUUAAUUCAGCAUCAUCAACAGCACCACGAACAGGAAAGCAGAUGAAAGUGCUUUGGUCCAAUUUACGCCGGACAGCUAAAAAAAAUAUUGCUAAAGAAAAUAAAAAAAGAUACUUAGAUGAGACAAAUGAACUGGGAAAUACAGCAGAGCUUAAACGAAAAAAAAUGAAGAUAAGAAAAACAUUUCGAAAACUGGGGGUGGAACGUUCGAGAGCCAAUUAACUGACGUGGGGGCUAGAGUCUUAGCAAUGGUCGAGCCACAGGCAAGGCCCUUACCAAAUCUAUUUGAC